ensembl:lncRNA
UCUCCUCAGCCUUAACUGCUUCAAAAUAUGUUGCCCAAACUGAGUUGUUCAGGCUCCCUCUGCAGAGAAUGAGAAGGGACAGCCAUGCCCAUAGGGAGAGUUAUCCCACCUGUCUUAGAGAGGAAGGAAAAUUUCAGAGGGAGCCCAGAUGAGCCCGGAGAAGGCCAAGGCUUAGGUAAGAUAAAUCUUGCCUGAAGUAGCAGGCCUGUCCUUUAAAAAAAAAAUUAAAAAAAAAAUUUAUUAUUAUCACUCCAAAGCCCUCACAACUAAAAUGACAUUUUUUCUAUUUGGAUUUUUGUUUCACCUAGGUUUAGUUUUCCAUCAUCUUCUAAUUGUACCCGGCUAAGAAAUAAAAGAAAUGGAGAGCAGGGAGGAGAAAAGUUUCAGAUCAAAACAAAUAGAGCCCCAAACGGAUCAUUUAAGCUGUAGACAACUGAUGCUUCCAUUCUGUGGUCCCUGCCCUGAAUACAAGCAGUUCUCUGUCGGAGACUUGACAAGUAACAUCAAACAUGGCCCAAGAACAAAGCUAACCAACCAUGGCCUGCAGCAUCCUUCAACCAAAAGUCACCUUUAGUCAAGCCUUGCCAUCUAAUUUGCAGUGUUUCUGUUUGUACUCUUCAGGCAGAAGUCCUAAAACUCUUAGGGUGUAAAGCUUUCCUGCUUUCUAUUCAGUAAGAUUAUAGUGAAGAUGCUGCAACUAUUUAACAUUUUUAGCAACCUUUGGCUGCAGCCAUCCUGGUGUUCUGACUUCAGAAAUGCAGACCCAAGCCCACUACUUUUUUCCUACUGUUUAUUUGUGCGUGUGUGUGUUUGUGUUUGUUUGUAUGUUUUUUUAAUGCAUCCUGAAUAACACUGCUGUAAGACUCCAAUUUUAAAGUUCAACUUAAUCCCCUUCUGUGCCAGUGUCCUGAAUCAGAGCUAAAUUACCUUCAUAGAUUAUUGUUUUUUUUAAUUUAGUUGGGUCAAAUAGAUGGCAGUGCUAUAUCUCAUUGAGUGAAAGACUGCAAUGACUUGUUUGCUUGAAUCAAAGUAAACAAAGACAGUAGACAGGUCCUUCUCAAGAGGAAAAAUCCUUACAAAAAGGAAUGUCACCAGCAAAGCUAAUCAACUCAUGGAGACAUGAAGAAGAGGAAAAAAUGAAACUUAAAAUACAAAGUAAUUUUCCACUUUGAAGGAUGGUCAUAUAAACUCAUUGAGCAUAGCAUUAACAUUCAAGAGUUUAACAGUCAGGAUUUUUCAGGGGACUGUCAAAGAUCUCAUGAUUUUCUAAAAACUUGGAUCAUUAAAUUGAGACCUAGAUGAUCACUAAAAUACGGCAUCACUUGCUUUAUUCAGUAUUUAACUGUCCUCCUGGAUUCACAGGUACUCAGAUAAAGGUUAUACAAAUUGUGUUUUGCUCUGUGCUGAUUUCAACUCCUAAUGCCACCUGAACCAAUUGCAUUUGGUAAGCAGUUCCAUUCUGCGUAUGACCCUUAGUGUCUGCUCUGAGUAGGCUGAAGUUGUGCCAGAGAUCUGCUGAUUGGAUCCUGAGUUUUCCCUCUAAAGCCUGGCUGCUGAGAGGGAGUGUGAUAAGAACUAGCAUAUGGGAUAAUCCAAUAAGCCAAUGUUAAAAGCACGUUGACACUCAAAAGCAAGAGCCAGUCAUGGCUGGAACAUUUUUUAAAAACAGCUUUUCCAGCAAAAAAAAAAAACCCCAAAAACAAAACAAAACAAAAAAAAACCUGAGCCUUUUCUAAUUUUAUUUUAUUUUAUUGAGUUAUGCUUCAUGAAAUAGGACUCAUGAAUUUUGGACUGCCUACUCUUCUCCAUUCCCAAAGGAAGAUCUGUCAGGAGGAGAACAGUGAAGAAAUUAAAGGGAAGGACAGUUUCGAUGUUGUAGAUAAAAUUUCUUUGUUCCUUACUUUUUAUGAUGGUCAUUAUAAUAUGUUGAUAAAAUACAGUUGUAAUUAGGAUUAUUCCUCUUCCUGCAGUUUCUUCACUUAUUUGUCGCCAUCUCCAAUUCAUUUUGUUUCUUCCUUCCUUUUAUAUAUCGCUAUUUUUGCCCCUGCACUUCGAUCUCCAGUAAUUUAGGUCCUCAUGAAAUUAUAUCAGCUCAUCCUCAGUAGAAAAUCUCCAUGUACACUUCAACAGUUACAUAAAAGACAACAAAAUUAUUGGAUUUCAUAUGCAUAUAUGCCAAUCUCUUUCUUGUGUGUUCGGUGUUUUGCCACAGAUAUUGCCUUUUUCAACAAAACAACUUUCCCAGAGCAAUUCCAGCCUUGCUGCAAAUAAGAUAACUACCAAAAACUUAGGCUAAGACUUCAGACAGGGUUACAUGUUGUAUGUUUUGAAUAUCUUAGCAGCAUCUGUCAGUACCUCUACCACCUUCACUGAAACAGUGAUAGAUAAUCUUUAAUUACGUUUACAAAAUAAUUGAAUGUUCCUCUUGCUGCUAUUGUCUUUCCUCUGUUCUCUAUUCUUCACAUCCUACUCCUUCUCUCUGUUCUGUUCUUUUACCUGACUAAUUUAGAUUGCAAGCAUCAUUCUUAUCGUUUUAUGGGCUUUGCUUAGCACACAUGAAUAAACUCCUAUCAGCUUGGACA